GCCGAAGUGGCGAAAUGGUAGACGCGCCGGUCUCAAAAACCGGUGGGGGUGACUCCGUGUCAGUUCGACUCUGACCUUCGGCACCA
rnacentral:tRNA from 2 species